rnacentral:tRNA from 1 species
ACCUGGGUGGCUUAGCCGGUUGAGCAUCUGACUUUGGCUCAGGUCAUGAUCUCAGGGCUUGUGGGUUUGAGCCCCACGUCGGGCU